GCGUGAAUCUGCCGGGACCAUCCGGUAAGGCUAAAUACUCCCGAGAGACCGAUAGCGAACCAGUACCGUGAGGGAAAGGUGAAAAGCACUUCGAACAGAAGAGUGAAAUAGUUCCUGAAACCGUGCGCCUACAAGCGGUCGGAGCUCGUUAAUGAGUGACGGCGUGCCUUUUGCAUAAUGAACCUACGAGUUGCCUUUGCCGGCAAGGUUAAGUGUGACGACACACGUAUCCGAAGCGAAAGCGAGUCUGAAGAGGGCGUAUAGUCGGCAGUGGCAGACGCGAAACCAAGUGAUCUACCCUUGGCCAGGUUGAAGGCUGGGUAACACCAGCUGGAGGACCGCACCAAUAAGCGUUGAAAAGCUUCUGGAUGAGCUGAGGGUAGGGGUGAAAGGCUAAUCAAACUUGGAGAUAGCUCGUACUCCCCGAAAUGCAUUUAGGUGCAGCCUUGCGGGUUACUGAUGUGAGGUAGAGCGACUGAUAAGAUGCGAGGGCUUCACCGCCUAUCAAGUCUUGACAAACUCCGAAUGCGCAUCAGUUCUACCGCAGGAGUGAGGGCAUGGGUGCUAAGGUCCGUGCCCGAGAGGAGAAGAAUCCGGACCACCUGCUAAGGUCCCGAAAUGACAGCUAAGUUAAACUAACGAAGUCUGACUGCUAAGACAGCUAGGAUGUUGGCUUGGAAGCAGCCAUUCAUUUAAAGAGUGCGUAACAGCUCACUAGUCGAGGAGUCGGGCGUGGAUAAUAAUCGGGUAUGAAGUUGUCUACCGAAGCAGUGGGAUCAUUUAUAUGAUCGGUAGGGGAGCAUUCCAGUCAGCGUCGAAGGCGUACCGUGAGGUAUUCUGGAGCGUCUGGAAAAGCAAAUGUAGGUAUAAGUAACGAUAAAGGGGGCGGGAAACCCCCUCGCCGAAAGACUAAGGUUUCCUGAUCAACGCUAAUCGGAUCAGGGUCAGUCGGGUCCUAAGGCUCAGCCGAACGGCGAUGCCGAUGGCAGAAACGGUUAAUAUUCCGUUACUACCUUCAGGAGUGACGUGGAGACGCAGUAGUGACAGUGCCGCCAUCUGACGGAAUAGAUGGUUGAAGGGUGUAGGAGUCGAUCAUGGCAGGCAAAUCCACCAUGAGAUCCGAACCUGAUAGUAUGCCGCGUCCUUCGGGACAAGGCAAUAGUGCGCGUAAGCAUGCUGCCGAGAAAAUCCGCUAAACUUAAUCCUGCAGGUACCCGUACCGCAAACGGACACACGUAGUCGGGAUGAAUAUUCUAAGGCGCUUGAGUGAUUCACGGUUAAGGAACUAGGCAAACUGACCCUGUAACUUCGGGAUAAAGGGUCCCUACCCUUUUAUGGGAGGGCGCAGAGAAUCGGUCCAGGCAACUGUUUAACAAAAACACAGGGCUGUGCCAAAUCGAAAGAUCCAGUAUACAGCCUGACACCUGCCCGGUGCUGGAAGGUUAAGAGGAGAUGUCAUCGAUAAGAGAAGCGUUGAAUUGAAGCCCCAGUAAACGGCGGCCGUAACUAUAACGGUCCUAAGGUAGCGAAAUUCCUUGUCGGGUAAGUUCCGACCUGCACGAAUGGUGUAAUGAUCUGGACGCUGUCUCAACCGUGAGCUCAGUGAAAUUGUAGUAUCGGUGAAGAUGCCGAUUACCCGCGAUGGGACGAAAAGACCCCGUGAACCUUUACUAUAGCUUAUCAUUGAAUCUGGGCACGUGAUGUGUAGGAUAGGUCGGAGGCUUUGAAGCAGGUACGCCAGUAUUUGUGGAGCCGCUGUUGAAAUACGACCCUUUAUUUGUUUGGAUUCUAACCCGUGGAUACGGGGACAUUGAUUGGUGGGUAGUUUGACUGGGGUGGUCGCCUCCAAAAGCGUAACGGAGGCUUCUAAAGGUGCCCUCCGGCCGAUUGGUAACCGGCCUUAGAGUGUAAUGGCAUAAGGGCGCUUGACUGGGAGACUGACAAGUCGAUCAGGUAGGAAACUAGAGCAUAGUGAUCCGGUGUUUCCGUAUGGA
rnacentral:rRNA from 1 species